rnacentral:rRNA from 1 species
GACGAACGCUGGCGGCGUGCUUAACACAUGCAAGUCGAACGGUAAGGCCCUUCGGGGUACACGAGUGGCGAACGGGUGAGUAACACGUGGGUGAUCUGCCCUGCACUUCGGGAUAAGCCUGGGAAACUGGGUCUAAUACCGGAUAGGACCACUGCCUGCAUGGGUGGUGGUGGAAAGCUUUUGCGGUGUGGGAUGGGCCCGCGGCCUAUCAGCUUGUCGGUGGGGUGAUGGCCUACCAAGGCGACGACGGGUAGCCGGCCUGAUAGGGUGACCGGCCACACUUGGACUGAGAUACGGCCCAGACUCCUACGGGAGGCAGCAGUGGGGAAUAUUGCACAAUGGGCGCAAGCCUGAUGCAGCGACGCCGCGUGAGGGAUGACGGCCUUCGGGUUGUAAACCUCUUUCAGCACCGACGAAGCGCAAGUGACGGUAGGUGCAGAAGAAGGACCGGCCAACUACGUGCCAGCCGCCGCGGUAA